rnacentral:rRNA from 1 species
GGGUUGUGAGGUUAAGCGACUAAGCGUACACGGUGGAUGCCCUGGCAGUCAGAGGCGAUGAAGGACGUGCUAAUCUGCGAUAAGCGUCGGUAAGGUGAUAUGAACCGUUAUAACCGGCGAUUUCCGAAUGGGGAAACCCAGUGUGAUUCGUCACACUAUCAUUAACUGAAUCCAUAGGUUAAUGAGGCGAACCGGGGGAACUGAAACAUCUAAGUACCCCGAGGAAAAGAAAUCAACCGAGAUUCCCCCAGUAGCGGCGAGCGAACGGGGAGCAGCCCAGAGCCUGAAUCAGUGUGUGUGUUAGUGGAAGCGUCUGGAAAGGCGUGCGAUACAGGGUGACAGUCCCGUACACAAAAAUGCACAUACUGUGAGCUCGAUGAGUAGGGCGGGACACGUGGUAUCCUGUCUGAAUAUGGGGGGACCAUCCUCCAAGGCUAAAUACUCCUGACUGACCGAUAGUGAACCAGUACCGUGAGGGAAAGGCGAAAAGAACCCCGGCGAGGGGAGUGAAAAAGAACCUGAAACCGUGUACGUACAAGCAGUGGGAGCACGCUUAGGCGUGUGACUGCGUACCUUUUGUAUAAUGGGUCAGCGACUUAUAUUCUGUAGCAAGGUUAACCGAAUAGGGGAGCCGAAGGGAAACCGAGUCUUAACUGGGCGUUAAGUUGCAGGGUAUAGACCCGAAACCCGGUGAUCUAGCCAUGGGCAGGUUGAAGGUUGGGUAACACUAACUGGAGGACCGAACCGACUAAUGUUGAAAAAUUAGCGGAUGACUUGUGGCUGGGGGUGAAAGGCCAAUCAAACCGGGAGAUAGCUGGUUCUCCCCGAAAGCUAUUUAGGUAGCGCCUCGUGAAUUCAUCUCCGGGGGUAGAGCACUGUUUCGGCAAGGGGGUCAUCCCGACUUACCAACCCGAUGCAAACUGCGAAUACCGGAGAAUGUUAUCACGGGAGACACACGGCGGGUGCUAACGUCCGUCGUGAAGAGGGAAACAACCCAGACCGCCAGCUAAGGUCCCAAAGUCAUGGUUAAGUGGGAAACGAUGUGGGAAGGCCCAGACAGCCAGGAUGUUGGCUUAGAAGCAGCCAUCAUUUAAAGAAAGCGUAAUAGCUCACUGGUCGAGUCGGCCUGCGCGGAAGAUGUAACGGGGCUAAACCAUGCACCGAA